UCGAGAAUUUUUCACAAUGGGCGCAAGCCUGAUGGAGCGACGCCGCGUGGGGGAUGAAUGGCUUCGGCCCGUAAACCCCUGUCAUUUGCGAUCAACCGUUAUUGUUUAAGAGAUGAUAACCUGAUAGUAGCGAAAGAGGAAGUGACGGCUAACUCUGUGCCAGCAGCCGCGGUAAUACAGAGGUCCCAAGCGUUGUUCGGAUUCACUGGGCGUAAAGGGUGCGUAGGUGGCGAAGUAAGUCGGACGUGAAAUCGCCGAGCUCAACUCGGAAACUGCAUUGGAAACUACUUUGCUUGAGGGUUGGAGGGGGGACUGGAAUACUUGGUGUAGCAGUGAAAUGCGUAGAUAGCGAGAGGAACACCAGUGGCGAAGGCGAGGCCGUGGACAACUCCUGACGCUGAGGCACGAAAGCUAGGGGAUCAAACA
rnacentral:rRNA from 1 species